rnacentral:rRNA from 1 species
UACGGAAGGCAGCAGUGGGGAAUAUUGCACAAUGGGCGAAAGCCUGAUGCAGCUAUGCCGCGUGUAUGAAGAAGGCCUUAGGGUUGUAAAGUACUUUCAUCGGGGAGGAAAAAACAAACUAAUAAUUUUAUUUCUUGACGUUACCCGAAAAAGAAGCACCGGCUAACUCCGUGCCAGCAGCCGCGGUAAUACGGAGGGUGCUAGCGUUAAUCAGAAUUACUGGGCGUAAAGAGCACGUAGGUGGUUUUUUUAAGUCAGAUGUGAAAUCCCUGGGCUUAACCUAGGAACUGCAUUUUGAAACUGAAAUACUAGAGUAUCGUAGAGGGAGGUAGAAUUCUAGGUGUAGCGGUGAAAUGCGUAGAUAUCUGGAGGAUACCUGUGGCGAAAGCGGCCUCCUAAACGAAUACUGACACUGAGGGUGCGAAAGCGUGGGGAGCAAACAGGGAUUAGAUACC